CUAUACUGCANGUCGAGCGGACAGAAGGGAGCUUGCUCCCGGAUGUUAGCGGCGGACGGGUGAGUAACACGUGGGUAACCUGCCUGUAAGACUGGGAUAACUCCGGGAAACCGGAGCUAAUACCGGAUAGUUCCUUGAACCGCAUGGUUCAAGGAUGAAAGACGGUUUCGGCUGUCACUUACAGAUGGACCCGCGGCGCAUUAGCUAGUUGGUGGGGUAAUGGCUCACCAAGGCGACGAUGCGUAGCCGACCUGAGAGGGUGAUCGGCCACACUGGGACUGAGACACGGCCCAGACUCCUACGGGAGGCAGCAGUAGGGAAUCUUCCGCAAUGGACGAAAGUCUGACGGAGCAACGCCGCGUGAGUGAUGAAGGUUUUCGGAUCGUAAAGCUCUGUUGUUAGGGAAGAACAAGUGCGAGAGUAACUGCUCGCACCUUGACGGUACCUAACCAGAAAGCCACGGCUAACUACGUGCCAGCAGCCGCGGUAAUACGUAGGUGGCAAGCGUUGUCCGGAAUUAUUGGGCGUAAAGGGCUCGCAGGCGGUUUCUUAAGUCUGAUGUGAAAGCCCCCGGCUCAACCGGGGAGGGUCAUUGGAAACUGGGAAACUUGAGUGCAGAAGAGGAGAGUGGAAUUCCACGUGUAGCGGUGAAAUGCGUAGAGAUGUGGAGGAACACCAGUGGCGAAGGCGACUCUCUGGUCUGUAACUGACGCUGAGGAGCGAAAGCGUGGGGAGCGAACAGGAUUAGAUACCCUGGUAGUCCACGCCGUAAACGAUGAGUGCUAAGUGUUAGGGGGUUUCCGCCCCUUAGUGCUGCAGCUAACGCAUUAAGCACUCCGCCUGGGGAGUACGGUCGCAAGACUGAAACUCAAAGGAAUUGACGGGGGCCCGCACAAGCGGUGGAGCAUGUGGUUUAAUUCGAAGCAACGCGAAGAACCUUACCAGGUCUUGACAUCCUCUGACAACCCUAGAGAUAGGGCUUUCCCUUCGGGGACAGAGUGACAGGUGGUGCAUGGUUGUCGUCAGCUCGUGUCGUGAGAUGUUGGGUUAAGUCCCGCAACGAGCGCAACCCUUGAUCUUAGUUGCCAGCAUUUAGUUGGGCACUCUAAGGUGACUGCCGGUGACAA
rnacentral:rRNA from 1 species